rnacentral:rRNA from 1 species
UACGGAGGGUGCGAGCGUUGUCCGGAAUCACUGGGCGUAAAGGGCGCGUAGGCGGCUUCUCAAGCGUGUGGUGAAAGUCCGGGGCUCAACCCCGGAUCGGCCGUGCGGACUGGGGAGCUCGAGUUCUGUAGAGGCGGGUGGAAUUCCGGGUGUAGCGGUGGAAUGCGUAGAGAUCCGGAAGAACACCGGUGGCGAAGGCGGCCCGCUGGGCAGAGACUGACGCUGAGGCGCGACAGCGUGGGGAGCAAACGAGGAG